rnacentral:rRNA from 1 species
CGUGAGGCGGAGCUAAUCCCUUAAAGCCAUUCUCAGUUCGGAUUGUAGGCUGAAACUCGCCUACAUGAAGCUGGAGUUACUAGUAAUCGCAGAUCAGAAUGCUGCGGUGAAUGCGUUCCCGGGUCUUGUACACACCGCCCGUCACACCACGGAAGUUGGGGGCGCCCGAAGCCACUUAGCUAACCCUUUGGGAAGCGAGUGUCGAAGGUGAAAUCAAUAACUGGGGUGAAGUCGUAACAAGGUAUC